rnacentral:rRNA from 1 species
GAUGAACGCUGGCGGCGUGCUUAACACAUGCAAGUCGAACGGGAAACUUUUCAUUGAAGCUUCGGCAGAUUUGGUCUGUUUCUAGUGGCGGACGGGUGAGUAACGCGUGGGUAACCUGCCUUAUACAGGGGGAUAACAACCAGAAAUGGUUGCUAAUACCGCAUAAGCGCACAGGACCGCAUGGUCCGGUGUGAAAAACUCCGGUGGUAUAAGAUGGACCCGCGUUGGAUUAGCUAGUUGGCAGGGCAACGGCCUACCAAGGCGACGAUCCAUAGCCGGCCUGAGAGGGUGAACGGCCACAUUGGGACUGAGACACGGCCCAGACUCCUACGGGAGGCAGCAGUGGGGAAUAUUGCACAAUGGGGGAAACCCUGAUGCAGCGACGCCGCGUGAAGGAAGAAGUAUCUCGGUAUGUAAACUUCUAUCAGCAGGGAAGA